rnacentral:rRNA from 1 species
UGGGGAAUUUUGGACAAUGGGGAAACCCUGAUCCCAGCCAUCCCGCGUGUGCGAUGAAGGCCUUCGGGUUGUAAAGCACUUUUGGCAGGAAAGAAACGUCGCGGGUUAAUACCCCGCGAAACUGACGGUACCUGCAGAAUAAGCACCGGCUAACUACGUGCCAGCAGCCGCGGUAAUACGUAGGGUGCAAGCGUUAAUCGGAAUUACUGGGCGUAAAGCGUGCGCAGGCGGUUCGGAAAGAAAGAUGUGAAAUCCCAGAGCUUAACUUUGGAACUGCAUUUUUAACUACCGGGCUAGAGUGUGUCAGAGGGAGGUGGAAUUCCGCGUGUAGCAGUGAAAUGCGUAGAUAUGCGGAGGAACACCGAUGGCGAAGGCAGCCUCCUGGGAUAACACUGACGCUCAUGCACGAAAAGCGUGGGGAGCAAACAGGAUUAGAUACCCUGGUAGUCCACGCCCUAAACGAUGUCAACUAGCUGUUGGGGCCUUCGGGCCUUGGUAGCGCAGCUAACGCGUGAAGUUGACCGCCUGGGGAGUACGGUCGCAAGAUUAAAAACUCAAAAUGAAUU